AGGAUGAACGCUGGCGGUCUGCUUAACACAUGCAAGUCGAACGGAGUAGCAAUACUUAGUGGCGGACGGGUGAGUAACGCGUGAGAAUCUACCUUCAGGACGGAGACAACAGUUGGAAACGACUGCUAACCCCCGAUGUACCGAAAGGGCAAAUAUUUAUAGCCUGAAGAAGAGCUCGCGUCCGAUUAGCUAGUUGGAGAGGUAAAAGCUCACCAAGGCGACGAUCGGUAGCUGGUCUGAGAGGACGAUCAGCCACACUGGGACUGAGACACGGCCCAGACUCCUACGGGAGGCAGCAGUGGGGAAUUUUCCGCAAUGGGCGAAAGCCUGACGGAGCAAGACCGCGUGGGGGAAGAAGGCUCUUGGGUUGUAAACCCCUUUUCUCUGGGAAGAACGCAAUGACGGUACCAGAGGAAUCAGCAUCGCUAACUCCGUGCCAGCAGCCGC
rnacentral:rRNA from 1 species